rnacentral:misc_RNA from 1 species
CCAAAAGGCGAGAAAUCGCUUUUCUACCUGCUGCUAGGUGGCCCUCCUGGGCCUGCUGAACCUGGUCCAACCCUUUGUGAACCAAAAAAAGCCUUUUCGCUUCGGCAGCUGGGCCUGACCGCCUGUCAGCCUGCCGCUAGCACCAACCUCAAAAACCUGUUGUCAAAACAUUGUCUGAUAACCAAAAAUUUUCGAAUGAAAAUCA